rnacentral:rRNA from 1 species
CGCAAGCCUGAUGCAGCCAUGCCGCGUGUAUGAAGAAGGCCUUCGGGUUGUAAAGUACUUUCAGCAGUGAGGAAGGUGGGUAUGUUAAUAGCAUAUUCAUUUGACGUUAGCUGCAGAAGAAGCACCGGCUAACUCCGUGCCAGCAGCCGCGGUAAUACGGAGGGUGCGAGCGUUAAUCGGAAUUACUGGGCGUAAAGCGCAUGCAGGUGGUUGUUAAGUCAGAUGUGAAAGCCCGGGGCUCAACCUCGGAAUUGCAUUUGAAACUGGCAAACUAGAGUACUGUAGAGGGGGUAGAAUUUCAGGUGUAGCGGUGAAAUGCGUAGAGAUCUGAAGGAAUACCGGUGGCGAAGGCGGCCCCCUGGACAGAUACUGACACUCAGAUGCGAAAGCGUGGGGAGCAAACAGGAUUAGAUACCCUGGUAG